ensembl:lncRNA
UUAAACAAAUUCUUUCAUUUUGUUUAGUUUUUCUAGUAAAGUUCUAGUCCCAGGGAGAAAUUGAGUAUGAAUUUUUUUUUUCUUGAACAGGAGAGUCAUAUAUGUGAAAGAAGUGGAAAUCUUAGGCCAUUUAACARCAGAGUGGGAUUACUUAUUUGAAGAAUUUACACGCUAUCCCUCCUAUGAAGGAAAUAUUUUAAAAAUCAGUGUUUUGCAGGAUCAAAAGAUGUUCCAAAGAAGGGACAGUACAGGUCAUGAAUGYGUAAAGACAGUUCAGCUUCGGGACGAAGCUACAGCAAGGAGGGUUUGUUGUGCCAUUCAGGAAGCCCAGACAACACGAAAACAAGAGAAGCUGGUGAAGAGAGCUUCCUCACAGCUGAGGAAACCUUAAAUACUCUCUUGAUAAUGACAGGAUUUGUCAUGUUUGAUGUUUGGUAUGCAAUUUUCUCCCUAAAAUUGAUUAGAAGCAACAUGGAAAUAUUGGGCAAAAAGUAAAGAUAAAAUAUCUGAGGUCUUCUUUCAAAGUUAACAGCCAUUAACACUAGUUUUAGAAGUUAUGCCUCUAUUGGAAACAAUGGAUUUCUAAAAUAUGCAUUUCAGUUUAAAAAUUACAAUUUUUGAUAAAAUGUUUUCCCACUCUGAAAUUUUAUUUUCUGCCUUCUUUAAUGUCAGAGAUUCUAAAAUGAAGUGGGUAUCUUAUUUGCACUCUAAGGGUAUGGUUUACAGACUGGUGGUGGUAAUAAUUGUGGUUCUGGUGUUUUUCCAGAUGAAGUACUUCGGUUUGUGAUUGAAACAAAUGACRAACUCUGUUUUAGACAACAUUCUCCUUAAAUUACUGUACACAAUUUAGCUUAUAUAAUUUCAUCUCUGAGCAUUUAGUAUUAGAAGAGACUGCAUUGAAGCAAUGUAAGAAUUGAGUAUAUAUGAAAGAAAUAGGCUGUAUGGUAGAAAUUGUCUAGAAAUGUUUACUUUGGAAUGUUGUCACACUGUAAAUGAAAAUCUGCACUUUAAAAAUGGAAAAUAUUAUUCACCUGUCAAAUGGUUUUGAUUGUGUCACUGUAGCCUAAAGAAUUCUCCAGGAGGAACAGCACACUGGGUUUAACAUUGUGUGUCAAAACCUGAAAUYUAAGAAAUUAGCUCUCCAUAUUUCGCAGUAUAGUUACUCCAUUGGAAGAAUGUCAUCUCAUUAAGGUAAAACUCACUUUUGAAGCAACGUUUCUGUUGCAGUUUCUCUUCCUGAAGGCUGUUGGCAUUCAGUUUACCACAACAUUUAAACACUUAAGUGUGUGCCUGGUGUGAAUAACCCCAUGAACUUCCUUGAGACAAAUUCCAUUAACACAAGGCACAUCCAUAGGUGACUGAGUCAAGGACUAGAUGAGUGAACAGAUUUGAGUUCAGUGAUCAGUGAACUGGGAGCCUUUGCUCUUAGUCUUUGGAUAUCAUUUAAGAAAAUCAGGGUCCUUGUGAAAACUCAUCAAAAUUUGACCUUACCAAUUUCCUUUUCUUGCAGAGAAUAAUUUCUAUUUCUUACUUCUAUUUUGUAGUUGAUAAUAGCUGUAGAUACAAACUUGAUGAACCAAAAUGACAAUAUUUUUCUACAUAUCCGUACAGUGCACCAGGCCUGGAUUUUUAAACUCUACACUUAAGGGCUGAUGCAUUGUAUAAAUGCACUUUUMACCUGUACCUAUGAGCUCACCAAAGUUAGAAAGCUUAAGACAUAUGAAAGUAAGCUGCCAAACACAGAACUUGCAGAGAGCAUUGCACACAUGAUUUUAUUCUUGUUAUAUGAACAUGGCUAUUAAUCCACUUUGUUACAUGGGAAAAAAUGCGGUACAGCCUUUAAUUCUGUGCUAUCACCUAUUUUCUAGAAAGCUGUGCACAAGCAACAAAUAAAUUAGCUGUCCAGGUUGUAUGUAUAUCAAGUUUAUGUUUUUAAAAAAAUGACAAUAAAUUUUUAUAUGCA